ensembl:ncRNA F42D1.7 ncRNA
AUGAUGACAUACGCAUAAAGAUGACGAAAGAUGAAUGGGGUCGGUCGUCAGACCAGAUGCGAUCGCCAGAUAAAACUUGGUUGUGUUGCAACUGUGUGGGUGGUCUCUCUCACUCUCGGUGCGACGACGUUGGCGAACAAAAGUAUAGUGAACAUCUCAUAUCGAGUACAAAAACCAAACAAAGUGGCGUCAGACAUCGUGAAAAUAGAAAUAGACGAGAUCAAGAUAAGAAGUGUAUUUUUAAAGAUCAUUUGUAGUCGACACACACCCACGU